rnacentral:rRNA from 1 species
AACGAACGCUGGCGGCAUGCCUAACACAUGCAAGUCGAACGAGACCUUCGGGUCUAGUGGCGAACGGGUGCGUAACGCGUGGGAACCUGCCCUUAGGUUCGGAAUAACUCCCCGAAAGGGGUGCUAAUACCGGAUAAUGUCUUCGGACCAAAGCUUUAUCGCCUUUGGAUGGGCCCGCGUUGGAUUAGCUAGUUGGUAGGGUAAAAGCCUACCAAGGCGACGAGCCAUAGCUGGUCUGAGAGGAUGAUCAGCCACACUGGGACUGAGACACGGCCCAGACUCCUACGGGAGGCAGCAGUGGGGAAUAUUGGACAAUGGGCGAAAGCCUGAUCCAGCAAUGCCGCGUGAGUGAUGAAGGCCUUAGGGUUGUAAAGCUCUUUUACCCGGGAUGAUAAUGACAGUACCGGGAGAAUAAGCUCCGGCUAACUCCGUG